GGAGGACCGAACCGACUAAUGUUGAAAAAUUAGCGGAUGACCUGUGGCUGGGGGUGAAAGGCCAAUCAAACCGGGAGAUAGCUGGUUCUCCCCGAAAGCUAUUUAGGUAGCGCCUCGUGAAUUCAUCUCCGGGGGUAGAGCACUGUUUCGGCUAGGGGGCCAUCCCGGCUUACCAACCCGAUGCAAACUGCGAAUACCGGAGAAUGUUAUCACGGGAGACACACGGCGGGUGCUAACGUCCGUCGUGAAGAGGGAAACAACCCAGACCGCCAGCUAAGGUCCCAAAGUCAUGGUUAAGUGGGAAACGAUGUGGGAAGGCCCAGACAGCCAGGAUGUUGGCUUAGAAGCAGCCAUCAUUUAAAGAAAGCGUAAUAGCUCACUGGUCGAGUCGGCCUGCGCGGAAGAUGUAACGGGGCUAAACCAUGCACCGAAGCUGCGGCAGCGACACUGUGUGUUGUUGGGUAGGGGAGCGUUCUGUAAGCCUGUGAAGGUGUGUCGUGAGGCAUGCUGGAGGUAUCAGAAGUGCGAAUGCUGACAUAAGUAACGAUAAAGCGGGUGAAAAGCCCGCUCGCCGGAAGACCAAGGGUUCCUGUCCAACGUUAAUCGGGGCAGGGUGAGUCGACCCCUAAGGCGAGGCCGAAAGGCGUAGUCGAUGGGAAACGGGUUAAUAUUCCCGUACUUGGUGUUACUGCGAAGGGGGGACGGAGAAGGCUAUGUUGGCCGGGCGACGGUUGUCCCGGUUUAAGCGUGUAGGUGUGUGUUCCAGGUAAAUCCGGUUCACUUUAACACUGAGGCGUGACGACGAGGCACUACGGUGCUGAAGCAACAAAUGCCCUGCUUCCAGGAAAA
rnacentral:rRNA from 1 species